rnacentral:lncRNA from 1 species
GGAAGAGAAGAAAAGGAAGGAAGGAACAGAAUGUGUUUCUCAGUUAAGUGAAUUGUGCUGAGAUGAAUGAAAUGAAUCAGAAAGACAACAAACAGACACCACCAUGACGGUGCGGCGCUACUCCACCGCGGCAUCGGCACCCUCAAGGCCUCUCCAUGCCGGCAAGCGGCCCCCGAGCAGCGGGCAGCUGGAGGAGCGGGGCAGGGCCGAGCCGCACGCCUGUCCCACUGCAGAGCAGCACCCCAGCGAUGUGAGCAGAGGCCUUGGGAAGGGCCCAGCCAACUGCUUCUCCAGCAGCACUUCCAGCAAAAUGAGGCUGUUCCAGGAGCACGUCCGCAGGUGCAGGGGUAAAGUAAAGGCUGUUAGUUUCCUCUUACCAACGGAUGUGUCCUAUGCUGGAAAUCAAGGUUCUUUCAAAAGCCCCCCAAAUCAGGACACCAAACAGUUAAGUACCAUCACCGAAAGGGAUAUGUGAGCUGGUGAAUUUUUAAAGGCCCGUUGAUUCUCGAGAUAAAUUGGCCUUAAAUGAUAGCUAUGUGUCAGGUUCCUUACCUGCAAAACGCUUUGGCAGGCUGCCUUGGGAGGCUCACCCGGACGGUGUUUCGGGUCACUGCCCCGUUGUUCAGCAAGGAAAUGGAAGCCACGACAAAACAGGCUGGAAGCACACGUGCCGUGAUGGAGUCGCAUGAUAGCAAAGCUCCUCCACAAAGCAGCUUCUGCUCAAUGCAUCUCAAGGCUCCCUCAGAUCAGCACUGCUUUGAACAGGAUGUUAAAGCUGGUUUUGCUAUGUUUGUCACAAAAAGCAGAAACCAAGUCACCUCUCGCGUUUGCUGAUCCCUUGGCAGGUACUUGUUGCAAAUGAUGAAGUAAGAGCUGCUAAAGGACCUGGGAGACUCUUCUGUACUUAAAACUUCGUAUUUCACAAUACCAAUACAGCAAAGCCAAGGGGGUGUCACAGAACCAGUUGACAUCACUCUGAAUUUCUGCAAAACUUAAUGGUGACUGCUGAUGUCUGCUUCAGGUCCAACCCUACAGGAGCACGGGGGAGAAUAAGUGCUAAUCAAUAUGAAGACGUGACUGCAAACGUGUGUCUGAGCUGGUGUCCAUCAGAGAUAGCUGCACACCAGGUCAGAGCAGGAAGGAUCUCAGAUGCUCUCAGGUCCGGUGUCUGAACACAGCUCAGACAAGAAUCAUUAGCGGACAUGCAGCAAACUGGUGCAAAACUAAUGGAAGGGAAAAAAUGGCUUGUAAAAAAAAAAAGUGUGAUUGGUAACUUGGGUCUGGCUGUGUGAGUAAGGAUCUGUCCCACGUGGUGUUUGCUUUGACCACCAGCACUAUUUUUUAACACGCAGGCCGUACUGAUGAGUGAAUACUGCACAAAUUGUCAGUCUUAUUGUCUGCCCUCACGCUCUGGGGUCUUCAAAAGUGAAAGCAGAGAGCUCAUAGACAAAGAGACCACCGAAUGACUUUCAGUGAUGCUGUGUGUGUGUGUGUAAAAAUAUCAGAUCCC